UACGGAGGGUGCAAGCGUUAUCCGGAUUCACUGGGUUUAAAGGGUGCGUAGGAGGGCAGGGAAGUCCGUGAUGAAAUCUCCUAGCUUAACUCGGAAACUGCCGUGGAUACUCUCUGUCUUGAAUCCCGUGGAGAUGAGCGGAAUAUGUCAUGUAGCGGUGAAAUGCUUAGAUAUGACAUAGAACACCAAUUGCGAAGGCAGCUCGUUACACGAAGAUUGACUCUGAGGCACGAAAGCGUGGGGAGCAAACAGG
rnacentral:rRNA from 1 species